rnacentral:tRNA from 1 species
UGCGGGGUGGAGCAGCUGGUAGCUCGUCGGGCUCAUAACCCGGAGGUCGUUGGUUCGAAUCCAACCCCCGCAACCA